rnacentral:rRNA from 1 species
UACAGAGGUCUCAAGCGUUGUUCGGAUUCAUUGGGCGUAAAGGGUGUGUAGGCGGCUCGCUAAGUCGGGUGUGAAAUUUCGGAGCUUAACUCCGAAACUGCAUUCGAUACUGCCGUGCUUGAGGACUGGAGAGGAGACUGGAAUUUACGGUGUAGCGGUGAAAUGCGUAGAUAUCGUAAGGAAGACCAGUGGCGAAGGCGGGUCUCUGGACAGUUCCUGACGCUGAGGCACGAAGGCCAGGGGAGCAAACGGG